UCGUUGUCUUUGUUCUUUAUUUCUCAUCAGAAACGAUCCAAAUCGAUACUACACUGAGAUCACCUUCUCUAAUCUCAUCUUCUUUCUCUUUUGCUUCCUCGUGUUGGAUCACGGUUUUUGCUUUAGAGUAGAUCUCGAUCUCGAACUGUUUUUACUCUGUCUCUCUGCUCACAAAGUUGCAAUCUUGGGGGGAGAUAUAAGGCAACCCUUUUCUCCUCUGGUACUUCAGAACUGAUAAGCAAACGUACGUUCAAUGACGAGUCUAGGUUACUUUUGCAAUCAUGAGUGAUGUUUGUUUUGUACAAAUGGGUCAAUGACGAGUCUGUUUUUUAAAGUUCUGUUAGAAUCGUCAAUGGUUUUAUAAAUAAAACCCUUAAUCUCAAGAUUUCAGAUUUUUUUUAACUAGUUUCAUUAUGAUAUGCUUUAUCUAUGUUGUGUCUUUAAAUCUGAGGAUUCAGUGAAUUAGAUAUGAAUUUAGUGUUUAGUAAUUAGAACUAGAGACUCGAAACUUAGGCUUGUGUUUAAACUCAGUGUUCAAUGGAGGAUUAGUAUGAUUGGUAAAAAUGUUGAAACUUGAGCUGUGGAAGGACCUCUUGAGAGUCCUUCUAGUUCUAGAAGCUUUUACUGGAAUUGAGAGGUUGCUUUUUGGAGAUAGUGUGCCAACAUCUCUUCAACGUGCUUUUAGAUAGUGUGUUCAAGGACCAAUACAAAAAGGAAGAACUUGUUGGUGAUGCUAUUUGUCAAAGACGUUGAUGUCUGAAUUUGUUCCACUGCAACAAAGAUCUCUUCUAUUCCAAAGAUUCAGGACAAAUUAACUUAGACGUAGAGCCUAUUGAACAUGAGGAUGGACAAGGCCUGAAGGGGUCAAGACUCAUUCUCUUCAAGUAUCUCAUGGAAUGCAACAAGGUUCUCCUCGAACACUUUUUUGAUUUGCGACCACCUACUUAUCCGGAGGAUCCGAAUUUGACUCCGACAGUCCAUGAAGAUGACGACGAUGAGACCCAAGAGUAAUGAUUUCUGGUUAUUUUUAAAACUUGAACAUUUUUUUCUGUUUUUUUGGUUGUUUAUUUGUAUUUUUAGGUUGUUUGCUUAUCAAAACUUUGUUUGUAAAUACAUUCAUGUUUCUAUAUAUAAUUUUCUGUUAUUUUCAUCGCUUUAAA